rnacentral:rRNA from 1 species
UACGUAGGGUGCGAGCGUUAAUCGGAAUUACUGGGCGUAAAGCGUGCGCAGGCGGUUUUGUAAGCCAGAUGUGAAAGCCCCGGGCUCAACCUGGGAAUGGCAUUUGGGACUGCAAGGCUUGAGUGCGGCAGAGGAGACUGGAAUUUACGGUGUAGCGGUGAAAUGCGUAGAUAUCGUAAGGAAGACCAGUGGCGAAGGCGGAUCUCUGGACAGUUACUGACACUGAGGCACGAAGGCCAGGGGAGCAAACGGGG